UAAGAAUUUAAAAGUCGAACAGACUUAUCACUAAAGAAGACUGCUUCUUAAAAUUUUCUUAAUUCAACAUCGAGGUCGCAAAAUAUAAUAUAGAUAUGAACUCCCCAUCAAAAUUACGCUGUUAUCCCUAAGGUAACUUAGUCUUACUUCCAACUUAAGGAUCUAAAAAUUACAUAAAUAAAUGAUUCUAAAAACUAAAGUUAAUUAAUUUAGCCACCACCCCAGCAAAAUAUGAAAUUAAUAUUAAAAAAUAUUAAAUUAAAACUAAACAAUAUAAACUCAUAUAAAGUUCUAUAGGGUCUUAUCGUCCCAAUAAUCCAAUAAAGCAUUUUAACUUUAAAUUUAAAUUUUAACAUUUAAAAAAAUAAAAUAUAAUUCUCAUACAUCCAUUCAUACAAGCUUUCAAUUAAAAAACUAAUUACUAUGCUACCUUUGCACAGUCAAAAUACUGCAGCCAUUUAGAAAUUAAACCAUAGGGCAGAAGAUACUUUUUAUAAAAACA
rnacentral:rRNA from 1 species